rnacentral:rRNA from 1 species
AGAGUUUGAUCCUGGCUCAGAAUCAACGCUGGCGGCGUGCCUAACACAUGCAAGUCGAACGAGAAAGGGUAGCAAUACCUGAGUAAAGUGGCGCACGGGUGAGUAACACGUGACUAACCUACCCUGGAGUGGGGGAUAACUGGGAGAAAUCCUAGCUAAUACCGCAUAAUACCCACGGGUCAAAGGAGCAAUUCGCUUCAGGAGGGGGUCGCGGUCGAUUAGUUAGUUGGCGGGGUAAUGGCCCACCAAGACUGUGAUCGAUAUCCGGCCUGAGAGGGCGCACGGACACACUGGAACUGAAACACGGUCCAGACUCCUACGGGAGGCAGCAGUGGGGAAUUUUGCGCAAUGGGGGAAACCCUGACGCAGCAACGCCGCGUGGAGGAUGAAGUCCUUCGGGACGUAAACUCCUUUCGAUCGGGACGAUAAUGACGGUACCGGAAGAAGAAGCCCCGGCUAACUUCGUGCCAGCAGCCGCGGUAAUACGAGGGGGGCGAGCGUUGUUCGGAAUUAUUGGGCGUAAAGGGUGCGUAGGCGGUUUGGUAAGUCUCGUGUGAAAUCUACAGGCUCAACUUGUAGUCUGCACGAGAAACUGCCGGGCUUGAGUGUGGGAGAGGUGAGUGGAAUUCCUGGUGUAGCGGUGAAAUGCGUAGAUAUCAGGAGGAACACCUGUGGCGAAAGCGGCUCACUGGACCACAACUGACGCUGAUGCACGAAAGCUAGGGGAGCAAACAGGAUUAGAUACCCUAGUAGUCC